GAGAUAUUAUAUUUUAUUGAACAAACUCUUAGUAUUUAUGAGAAAAAUGUAAAUUUAAUUAGUGUUAACGCAGAGCAGGAAAUUUCCAGGAUUUGUUUUCUCUCUUUAUACUAUAAUACAGCAGGAGGUGUGUCCCGAGCCUCCAGAAAUGGAGAAAGAGUCACAGAAUGAACAGAACAAAAAGGAACAACUAAAAGAAGAUGAUUC